rnacentral:tRNA from 1 species
AGAAUUUCUUUUUUUAGA